rnacentral:rRNA from 1 species
UACGGGGGGGGCAAGCGUUGUUCGGAAUUACUGAGCGUAAAGGGCUCGUAGGCGGCCAACUAAGUCAGACGUGAAAUCCCUCGGCUUAACCGGGGAACUGCGUCUGAUACUGGAUGGCUUGAGUUUGGGAGAGGGAUGCGGAAUUCCAGGUGUAGCGGUGAAAUGCGUAGAUAUCUGGAGGAACACCGGUGGCGAAGGCGGCAUCCUGGACCAACACUGACGCUGAGUGAGCGAAAGCCAGGGGAGCAAACGGG